rnacentral:rRNA from 1 species
CGGGGGAGCAAGCGUUGUUCGGAUUUACUGGGCGUAAAGGGCGCGUAGGCGGCCAGCGCAAGUCAGUUGUGAAAUCUCCGGGCUUAACUCGGAAAGGUCAACUGAUACUGCGCGGCUAGAGUGCAGAAGGGGCAACUGGAAUUCUCGGUGUAGCGGUGAAAUGCGUAGAUAUCGAGAGGAACACCUGCGGCGAAGGCGGGUUGCUGGGCUGACACUGACGCUGAUGCGCGAAAGCCAGGGGAGCGAACGGGAUUAGAUACCCCGGUAGUCCUGGCCUUAAACGAUGGAUGCUUGGUGUCUGGAGUUUUAUAGUCUCCGGGUGCCGUAGCUAACGCGUUAAGCAUCCUGCCUGGGGAGUACGGUCGCAAGACUG